AUUUUACCCUAUAAGCUACCAAUAAAAUUGAAAUCACAGGUUGUCUGCAAGAGUUUUGGUAAAAUGACCUUUCUACCCUGGCUUUAUGUCAACACACCUGCAAGGAUGGGCAACAGCAGCAGACUUCAGCUGAAGCUUGUCAUCAGUAACUUAAAUUAAACAAGAUGAAUAAGGACACAUAACCAGAGCUGGGGAAACAAGGCAUCGACACACAAGGCGUGAACAAAUUCCGAAACCACCGAUGAAAAUAGCCGGCGAAGGUCAAAGGAAAGGUAUCGGUGCUCCGACAAACACCCCCACUGCAGAUUGACAAAUAAUGUUGCAAGUUUAGAACCAAAAACUUGGAACAUCGGGAGUUGAUGGAGGGCGUCUUCACAGGGGCUACGGCAAUGGGUAAAUACACAUGGAUGCCAGGCGAAACUUGUGACCAAUUGGAGUUGAAAGGGUAGUCCGACAGUCUUGCAGAUUAUAGUGACAGUAAUGAAUGGGUAACUUACGGCAGUCAUACAAGUCCAGAAAAGGUAGACAAUGUGAACUCCAGCGCCUCUGACAGUGGAAGCAAACAGAAGCAUUCAUCGGGCAGAAGCAUGCAAACGAAGUGCAUAACGGGGGGCUGAAGCUUUAGUAAGCAGCAUAGAUGACUAGGUGAAUUCCGUGAAGACACAAAACAAGGAACUAACCGUGAAACACAUCGUCAGCACAUAGCUACAUUAUUGCCGAGCCUGUUGCAAGGCUUUACGUAAUUGAGGGACUUGACCCUGCCAAUCCACUCCUCCAUUACGGGAUGAUGCUGAUGGACAUUCUGAAUAAUCAGGAGCUACUUAUAAGUAUUCCCACGGACCAAGAAAUUAUCGGGUGGCUGCAUGCGAAGAAAGUUGACAAAGCUAGAAGUGGGGGUCCAACCCUUGCGAGUGUGUUGCACAAUGAAGGUGUGCGGUUUUGAAUCGUUACAAUCAACAAUUGGAUUGUUGAUUGUAACGAUGUUACACGUUGCAGCCAACUUUCUUUCACUUGAACAGUUGUAUUUCAAUUUUAGUUAUUUUCGUUGGCUCUGCUACAAUGGGGCAUGGAUAUUAUGCACUGCUUCAUAACGUUGUUGCUUAUGCACUGUUUAAAUUUUUUUUUUUUUUCUAACUUGUUUGGUAUUUUCGUUGGUUCUGUUUAUGCACAGAGGGUUCUAUAUUAUGCAGUGA